UGAGAGUUGGACUCUGUGUGCACUGGC
rnacentral:piRNA from 1 species